AACGAACGCUGGCGGCAGGCCUAACACAUGCAAGUCGAACGCCCUAGCAAUAGGGAGUGGCAGACGGGUGAGUAACACGUGGGAACCUUCCCUAUACUACGGAAUAGCCCAGGGAAACUUGGAAUAAUACCGUAUACGCCCGAGAGGGGAAAGAUUUCUCGGUAUAGGAUGGGCCCGCGUCGGAUUAGCUAGUUGGUAAGGUAAUGGCUCACCAAGGCGACGCUCCGUAGCUGGUUUGAGAGAACGACCGGCCACGCUGGGACUGAGAGACGGCCCGGACUCCUACGGGAGGCAGCAGUGGGGUAUAUUGGACAAUGGGCGCAAGCCUGAUCCAGCCAUGCCGCGUGAGUGAUGAAGGCCUUAGGGUUGUAAAGCUCUUUUGCCGGGGACGAUAAUGACGGUACCCGGAGAAUAAGUCCCGGCUAACUUCGUGCCAGCAGCCGCAGUAA
rnacentral:rRNA from 1 species